UUUCUUUUUUAAGAAAUCAUAAAUGGCUUCAUCACUUAAGUAUCUACUAAAUCAGAUGUGCAUUUCCAAUUGUCUUAUGGAAACAUCCACCUGGGUUUCCCAUAAUAUCUCAGACCUAAGUGGGUUUUUUGCUGUUUUUGUUUUGAGACAGGGUCUUGCUUUGUCACCCAGGCUGGAGUGCAGUGCCAUCAUCACAGCUCACUGCAGCCUCAAACUUCCCAGCCCAAGCAAUUCUCCGAACUCAGCCAUCAAAGUAGGUGGAA